rnacentral:rRNA from 1 species
GAUGAACGCUGGCGGCGUGCCUAAUACAUGCAAGUCGAGCGAACAGAUGAGGAGCUUGCUCCUCUGACGUUAGCGGCGGACGGGUGAGUAACACGUGGAUCACCUACCUAUCAGACUGGGAAAAUUACGGAACACCGGCGCUAAUACCGGAUAAUAUAUUGCACCGCAUGGUUCAAUAGUAAAAGACGGUUUUGCUGUAUCUUAUAGCUGGAUCCGAGCCGUAUGAGCUAGUUGGUAAGGUAAAGGCUUACCAAGGCAAGUAUGCGUAUCCGACCGGAGAGAGGGAUCGCCGACAUUGGAACGUAGACGCGCUCCAGACUACUGCGGGAGGCAGCAGUCGGGAAUCUUACGCAAUGGUCGAAAGUCUGACGGAGCAACGCCGCGUGAGAUAUAGAAGUCCUCGGUGCGUAAAACUCUGUUACUAGUUAAGAACAAAUGUGUAAGGAACUAUGCACUUCUUGACGGUACCUAGUAAGAAAGCCACGGCUAACUACGUG